UACCUCAAAGAACCACAACAGUCUGUUUCAUCCGUAACCACCUGAUGAUUCCUAUACGGAUGAAACAGACUGUUGUGGUUCUU